UCCUGGCUACAAGCUAUGUAUGAAUACUGUUUGCUGAAGUCCUUUUGCUGAAAUUCAAAAAAAAUACAUUAUCAUCAGCAUAUAGUAAACAAUGUAAAUUGCUAACCCCUUUAAUAUUCUUUAGAAAGAAGUUUAAGGAUCCAUACUGUGAAGGAUUUUUUUUUACUCGUGUAGUAAUUUUGACUCUAAAUAUGCCUCCUCUAGUAGUGGAAAGAUGAUCCCAAAUUGUCAAGCCUGUGCCAGUAUCUGAUCAUAG
rnacentral:lncRNA from 1 species